AACCCGACCGCGUCGCCUCUCUCCUCCUUUCGCGUCGUCUCCAUCCUCUCCUCUCCUCUCCUCUCCUCUCGUGUCUACAGCUUCCCUUGCUGGCUAGGGUUUGCAGAUGACGACGGCGACGUGCCCCACCUAGGCGCCGGCCAAGGGCGGCAACGAGCAGGGGGGCACUCGCAUUUUCGGCCCCUCCCAGAAGUACUUGUCCCGCGACCUCGCCGCGCAUACCUCGCUCAAGCCCAGAAAAGACGGUCAAUAGACCCAAGAGGAGUUACAGAAGAGGAAUCUCAGGGAGGAACUUGAGGAACGUGAGCGCAAGCACUACUCUUCCAAGGAUAAGUCCUAUGCUAAAAAAAGAGACCGGCGGAAAAGCUCAAGCCAGCUACUCCUAGAAGGUUCAAAGAGAGAGGCAGAGGAUAAGAUAGUUCCACAAGAAAUUGAUGCAGAUGACUCCGAUGUGGAGCCUAAAAGUGACGAUGAGAGAGAAGACAACACAACAUCUUCCCUGACAUUGUUUAGGCAGAAGUGGAGCAACUGCGAGAAGAACUUAGGCGACAUCAAGAUUAAUUGAAGCAACAAGCUGCGCAACAUGAAUAUUAUGCUACACAGAUUCAACAACAGCAAACACUCAUACAACAACUAGCACAGGCCCAAGGGAUACACGUCCUGGUGCCCCCCCACCACCUCCCGUUCAUUAUCCUUGGUCUUCACCUCCACCUACACUUACAUUUCCAUCUACCAAACAUCAGGUAUGCAAAUUCAUCAUCAUUUACUUGUUGUUAGUUAUAUUAUGAUGUAACUCGGCAAAUAUCAUUUGUACAUGUAUAUUAGACCCCUCCAGCUACCUUGCCAACGCAUGAACUACCUUGCCAACGCAUGAACGAGAAGACGGGUUAGACUUUGUCGAAACCCUCUUCGCUAGUGGAGGUAUCGACCAUCACUCGUCACUGUAACCCGAUGGUGAUCGGCGACCGUGAGCUUCCAUGUUAUUGUGUUCUGAUACUUGAGACUUUUAUUAUGACUAUGUAUGAAAUAUUGUCUCUUAUUAGUACUGGAUGAU